GUCAACUACAGUGUAUGGAUGACCAGAUCAUUUCAUACGUGUCUGUGAAUACUAGACAUUGAUCUAUCAUGUGUAUUAAUCUGUGAUGAAGGAAAUCAGUGUAUUCAAGUACAUGAAGAAUUAACUAUUGGAGCCCAUAAGUGUUGAUGUGUUCUUCCAUCACCUUAUUUGUAACCCUGGAGGAAUGUCGUGAGAAGUACAGUGACGUACUGUUAAGUGAGUGAUAUAUGUAUAUAUGUAUGAUUGUUAUAAGGAGAGUGAGAUAUGGGUAACUUCAUGAGUCUGUUUUCUUAUCAUAUUUACAAGAAGAAUAUAUUGAUAGUUCCUGAAACUGGUUAGGAAACCACAUCACCUGCUGCUGAGGGAUGCUUACGUAGGUGUGAGAGGUUUUGUUGCAUUUGAACUUGAAAUAUGUCUUGCACGGCAGUCAACCCUGUUUCCUGGCUUUGAAGAAAAUCUGGGAAUAAUUGAUUGUUGUGAAACAAUGUUUCUGAACUCCAUACUGUGAGUUGUUAUUAUGAUAUUUUACUCUGUAUCUCUGAGUAUAUUUAAGUACAGUUUAUUUAAGAGAUUAUUAUUGGGCUUAUGAGACAAUAGUAUAUUUCCUUCAAGUUUCUUCUCCAUAGAAAUUCAUCUGAGAUCAAAGAUUUAUUCAGAUAUUUGAAACCCCUCUGGAAAUCCUGCAGAAUAAUUUUUGUGAAAACUGUUUUCUGAGCAGGGGACCAGGUGGCCCAAUCGUCUAGGACGUUGAAGUUUGAUGUGGAAAGAAGUGUUCAAAGCACUGACUCAUCAAACCGGUUGCCAUCCUUGGACAUACCUUGAAACCUCUGAUUCUGAGUUCGAAUCCCAGUUCACCAUGGUUUCAGGUUUGUCAGCACCAUACUAAAGUUAUUGGGCUUCACCAAAGUGGUGAAAGUGGAACGCCUGCACAGUUCGGGCUUUCCUUCCAAGCUGACAUGUCAAAAUAUAACUGAAAUAUUGUUCAUGGUAAUCACAACUCACUCACUCACCCAUUUACGUUCAGUCUUGUCAUAAGAUGAAUAAAGGUAUUGUAAAGCUUCUGAAGUGUGGGAAGUUCUUAAUACAGAUAUAAUAAACCUGUAGUUAGGAGACACAUGCUUGGGACUGCAUUAGAUUGGAAACAUGGACGAUUCAUGGCAUGUGAGAGAAUUACAUUUAUUGUAAACACAGAUCAUUGAGGGAAUUGUAUACAUUCUUAUGGAUCAAUUACAGAAUAAAUGAUAUGUUAUUUCA